CUAAGGACUUCUGAAGGGUAGAAGAGGGCAGAGCUCCUUAGUAGAAGUUUUUUCCUGCAAAUCACAUGGACAAGGAGAAAAGAAAAAAGAUUUCUCAGUUCUGCUGAACUUUUCUUCUGAAAAGGUUGGCCUGUCAAGAAGCUGCCAUCCAUGUAUGCAUUCCAUAACAAAAAUAUUGCAUGCCAUACUUCAUUACGGGCCUUGGAAGACCUUCACAACUAUAAAUUUAGGGACUUGUGGAACACAGUGGACUUCAGGAUGGAAAGAAGCCAGUUGGCCUAUCUAGUCAGGUCCAUCCCUUCUGUUUGAAUUAACAGCUGGA